rnacentral:lncRNA from 1 species
GGAGAAUCCUUCAUAUGGAUACCGUAAUUGGGAGAGGCAAAUGCAGGUGUCAAAUGUGAAUUCCUGGUCUUGAUUCCAAAAUCAGUGGGAGAAGUAGUUGGAGAGACUAAGGAAGGUGGGAGUAUUGGUGGAAUCUGAACUCUGAGCUCGGUCCCAAACAAGACCUUUUUCUUAUUACUUGCCUCGCAGCAACUCUUAUCUUCAGUUUGGUUAUUGUUAAGGAAUGUAUCAACUAUAGCAAGAGCAAUACCUUUUGGUUCUGAGUUUGCAGGUGAGGUGUGUGUGUUAUUAGGCGAGAAGGGUUUUGAGGAUUUGGGAUGGUUUCUGUCCAAGGCAAAGGGGUUACCAAAAGGAAAGAAGGGUUUGUUGUCAAGGAUCGAAGUAGGGCUCUUGAGAGAUUCAGUGUCGGGAAAGGCUUUUGAAGUGAAAGCUUUAAAUCGUGGAGAAUCGAAGAAAGAUGGGUUUGGUUUAGUGCAAUUCUGGGCAGGGGAUGCUUG